GCUUUAACAUGGGGGUACCUGCUGCCUAGAAAAAGUAAGUGCUUCCAUGUUUCAGUCG
rnacentral:pre_miRNA from 1 species